GCCCAAUUGUAACACCCCUCAUUUCCGAAUGUUCGUAUAAAUUUUUGGUGAUAAUGUAAGCAUCUAUUUUAAUUGACAAAAGAAAUAGAGUAUGAAUCAGAGGUAACUUAUUUUUAAGAUUUGGGAGAUCUGUUCAAAAAAAAAAAAAAAAAAGAAAAAGAAAGAAUCUGAGGACCUAUAUGUAAACCCUAAGGACCUAAUCGUGAAUAUGAUAAAAAUGAGGACUAAACUGCAAAAUGCACCAAAUGACAAAUUCCACCGCUUAAGCCUCUCUGCCUUCGUUGUUAAGGAAGCAGAGGAGGCAGCUCGUGGGUGAUCAGGGAAAGAAAAGAAGAAGAAGAAGAAGAAGAAGAAGAAGAAGGAGAAGAGAAAGAAAAUUUGGGGCUUUUAGGGUUUUUGCUUUAAUCUUGUUACUUCGGGUCAAAAUUUGCAAAGGAUAGCGUAACUCUUGCUUAAAUGUUAAGAAUGGGCUGAGGCAGCGGAAAGUUUAGAAGACGUUGGGCAGAACUUUUGUUAGCAUAUAUGUAGUUGUGUAUAAGCUACCUUGUAUCUAAUGAAAUGUGACUAUGAAUCUAAACCUGUGGAUUUUGUGUAAGUUAAAGGAUCCCUCAUGUAUAGGGUUUUGGUAUGUUAAAUUAAAUUUGUGUAAGGAUAUGAACUUAUGGUAAAUCGAUGAUUGUGGUGACUGCAUAGAUUUUUCCCA